GGGAGAGAUUUGGUGGGUACUGAUGAAAAACUUUACAAGAUAUUCUGCUUGUAAGGCCAAUGGAGAACCAGAAUACUUUACAUGUUGCCCCACAAGCUGUCCCCUAAAUGAGAGCACCAUUCCACACCACCUCUGAGUCCCCUUCUCCAGCAACUAGAGGGUGGGGCUCCUCCCCAGAGAGCUGCAGAGCAUUAAAUUCUGUAUCAGGAGAUGGGGGUGCUAGUCCCAAACCUACUCCCAGACAGUUUUCUGAACCUGGAUGAGUGAUUUCCAUUUUCUUGGUCUCUUUUUCUUCAUCUGUAGAAGUUUAAAUGAGAUGAAUCUAGGUUCCUAAAUGGCCAGGAACAUAUAAAGGUUAAGCCAUAAAGGGCAACUGAGAUCCUAAUUAUUAGUAUUUCUUAUCUAGAAUUCACCAUAAAACCAAGUAACAACUGAAUCAUUGGGACACUCUAACAGAUUGUUUUCUGUAUAAUCGUGUUUGACGUCUAAAUUGAAGUGCUGGGUAAUUACAUUUAGUCUCCUACUGUAAUAACAGUGGAAGAAAUCAGAACCACCUGUAAGGCAGGAUAACAGGUUGACAAAGAAAGGACAUUUGAAAACCUUGCUUCAGUGCUCUGUAAUCAAAGCAACAGGCAGAUAAAACACAACAGAGAUUUUUUUUUUCCCCUGAUUUUUAAAGCUCUUUUUGGAUGAUGUCAGUUGUUCACAGAUACCUAGAGACCUGUGUUCUUUUGGUAUUUGUAUGUAGAACAGAGACAUGCAGCUCCACCAAACUGCAGAUGUUAAAAUGAUCCAACACCUAGAUACAGGGGGAGCUUGAGGCUGAGCCUGGGGUAAGGACAGAGAGUAAGGAUAGACAAAUCAUGGAGAACUCUAGCAAGACAAGCCAGAAAGGGCCAGAGAGGCAGGGCUCUCACGUGCUGGUGCUCUUCCCUGCAUGACAGAAAGAUCCUUUGUCUGCCUCAGCAGGUUCAUCCUAUGCCUGGCACCUGGUGACAACACUUGUAAAAAAGCAUGUGUCUGUGUGGUGAACCAACCCCACAGAAUAUGCAUGAUUGGAUGAAAAUGCAAACCAUGAUAUUAAUUGGCUGGAGUGGAGGUAUGGGGAAUGGCCUAGAAAAUUCACUUCAUGGGCCUAAAAGUUCAUAAAGUGAGAGAUAGGAACUGUCCUCUGGAAGAGACAAAUUUAUUGUAAGGCAUUGUGACAUAAAAUAACUCAACCUUUAAAAAAAAAUUCUGUGGUUUAAACCUUCAAAAGUCCAAGGUAGAAAAGGCUCACAAUUAUAGGUUUUAGAAGCUUUUCAAAACACCUAUUAGCUGGGCUCUUUUCCUGUACAUAAUCAUAAGACCUGGCAGACAGGCCGUGAGACCUAUCUGAUUCCAGAGAGGCCCACACUAACUAAUCCAAGAUGGUGGGGAUUACCCAACCUGGAUUUUUACAGCCUUUCUCAGUCACCCUCUCAACAAUUCAACAGCUCCAUAUUUUGUUCAUGUAAAUAAGACCAGCGUCAGUUUAAAGUAGGUGGUCACUGACAUGCAUCCUGCUGAAGCCACGUUUUCUCCAGUGUCAGCCUAGAAUCUUAAAGUGCCUCUGAGAUCUGUCAAGAUCUCAAUCUGCAAUCCAUUGACAUUUCUCAUUCAAUUCCUCCCUUAAAUCUCUUCUUCUAUCUCAUCGUUCUCCCAGUUUCAGGCACCUUCUAGCUUUACUCUCCCCUGGGUCUCACCAGCAUGCUCAGCGCCUUGUGAUUCUGCCAGCCUUCCCAAAACAUCUACCCAAAGAGGACCCCAACUCGCUGCUCAUGGGGUAUGGUGCAGAUUGAGACGAUCAUGCCACAUAGAGCAUGCUUUCCAACUCCAACAGAACACUGUAUGGAAAUCUUUUCCUUUGUCCCCAGUCAAUAAUUUUGACUCUUCAAAAACGUUUCCAUUCUUUCUGAACUCCCACCUCACUCCCUAUUUCACUCUCAGAAGAUGACUUCACCUUCUCUUCAGAGAGGAAAUAUAAUUUAUCUCUUGAUAACUCUUGAAGGCGGGUGCAGUGGCUCACACCUGUAAUCCCAGCACUUUCGGAGGCUGAGCCUCAGCCCCCCAGUGUGCUAGAAUCACAGGCAUGAGCCAUCAUGCCCGGCCAAGAAGUUAUCUCUUGAAGUGACUUCCAGGGGUCCUUCACAUCUGCACUUCUGAAAGCAUAACUCAUCUUUGCUGUUUUCCCAUUUUCUCCAAGAAAGGGGCAUUCCUUCUCUCCCCUUAUAGAUUUUUUUUUUCUUUUUCCUUUUUUUGAGACAGGGUCUCACUGUUGCCCAGGCUGGAGUGCCCAGGCUGGAAUGCAGUGGCGGGAACUCGGUUCAUUGCAACCUCAGCCUCCCAGGCUCAAGGGAUCAUCCCACCUCAACCUCCUGAGUAGCUGGGAACACUGGCGCACACCAGCACACCCAGCUAAUUUUUGACUGCAGGUGCAUGCCACCAUGCCUGGCUAACUUUUUGCAUUUCUAUUUUUGUAGAUAUGGGGUCUCACUUUGUUGCCCAGGCCAGUCUUAAACUCCCAGCCUCAAGUGACCCUCCUACCUUGGCUUCCCAAAGUGCUGGGAUUACAGGUAUGAGUCACUGCGCCCAGCCUGAUUUCCCGCUUUUGAAAACUCAUUUUUUUUCUUUCUUCCCCUGUAAGUUGUCAUUCCAUCUCCUUUUAUUUCUUUCAAAUAUAAAGUGUAGGGAGCUCAAACUCUCAACUGCCUUCAAGUCCUAAACUCUGUACAAUGUUUCUGUCUUGCUCCUAUCCCAUCUUCUUACCCUGGGACUUCAUUGACACUAUUUUUGCCAAGAUAAUGAAUGAAACCCCAAAUCUUCACUCCAAUGGCCUCUUUCCAAUCCUCAUCCUGCUCAAAUUUUGAUUUCAUUACCUUACUUUUCUGUGUGAGCCACCGUGCCCGGCCCUGGCUCCUCCUCUUUCUCCCCACAGCCUCCACCAUCCACCUGCUACCGAAUUUUGAUGACUAUUCUUUAACUCUCAGAUCUGGAUGAUACUUUACAAUCUUUCUUGCCAGAGUCCAAACUCCAUCAGGUCUCUCCCGGACCACUCAGCAACCCCCUUCAUGGCAUCUGGACAUAACUUUGGACUGUCCUUGUUUCUGUUCAUCUUCCAUACUGCUUCUAGAGUUAUAUUCCUAAAAAACUAAUCUGUUCUUCUUACCCUCCUGCUAAAAAAAAAAAAGAAAAAAAAAUGGUGUUGCCUCAGUUAACUACAAGCUGCAUAACUGGACCUUCACAAGCAGGCUCCAACUCAUCACGCCGGCCUCAUUGCCUCUCUUACAGACGCCUUAGAGUCUGACUAAAUGACUCUUUGCGAACACGUCAAGUACCUCACAACUCCAUGUUUUUGCACAUGCUAUCCCAUCUGCCUGAAAUACAAUUUCACCCUUCUCCGUCUGGAUCACGCCUACUCACCUUUUAGAACCCAGCUCAAAUAUAACCUCUUCUGAAAAAGCCUUCUCAGAUUCAACUGGGCUGUUCUGCUCACUGCUCUGGACUUGGCGUUCCUAUGACACUUUGUUCUUACCUCUUCGUAGUCAUUAACAAGGUGUCUGACUCUUCUGCUUUACGUUUAUCUUCCUUCCUAGACCGUGAGCUAUAUGAAGAAAGAAUUAUGUCUUAUUCAAGUCUGUAUCCCCAAGGCGUACCUUGUUUCCAGUUUUGUUUUUGUUUUUGAGACAGGGUCUUGCUCUGUUGCCCAGGCUAGAGCACAGUGGCACAAUCAUGGGUCACUGCAACCUCAAACUCUUGGGCUAAAGUGAUCCUCCCACCUCAGCCUCCCAAGUAGCUACGACUACAGACGCAUGCCAUCAUGCCUGGCUAAGUUCUUUAUUUUUGUAGAGAAAGGAUCUCACUAUGUUGCUCAGGGUGGUCUUAAAAUCCUGAUCUCAAGCGAUCCUCCCACCUUAGCCUCCCAA
rnacentral:lncRNA from 10 species